GGCAGAUUCACCAGGUGGUGGCUAGUGCUUCUGGGGCUCUAGUUUGUUGGUUCAAUUCCGUCAUCUGCCGCCA
rnacentral:tRNA from 21 species